rnacentral:lncRNA from 13 species
ACUCAUCAAAAUCCUCAUUUACGUAGCCUAUAAGUGUUGGGGUGCUUUAAUACUUGAAGGAGGCCCUCUACUCUUCUCACUCUUCUCACUUAAUAACCUUUCUCUGGGGCAUCUCAAUCAGAUCUGUGGCCUCAAGCACUUAACAUAACAGAGGCAUGUAAAAAGUGCUUGCAGGGGUGUUCGGCUGAGUGCAUGACUAUGGCAUGUGAAAAGUAGCUGGAGUUGGGGUCAUUGUUAUUCCAUGGAAAAUGUAACCUUGGGAUGGAUAAUGUGGCCCAAACUUGAACUUUGAAAGGCUAUUCACUGGAUUGGAAGACCAAUAGGUACCAAUAAGUUAAAAGUAAUCACUCUUUAUCCUUCGUCAAAACUACCAUUAUUCUACAAGAUAAAAGCAGCUUUGCAAUCAGCAUGGAGGAAGAUGGAACAGGAAGAAGCUGCUCUGAACUGCCUCCAGAAACGCCUACAUUCACGUCCAAGGCACUGGCUGUUGAGUUUCCCUGACUUGAGAAACGACAUUGCUAUUGGCCGACAUCUCCCAAGGAGACUAAUACAACAGUCAAUAAAUGACACGAGAUAUGAGCAAGAAAAGACACUUGUUAUUGGAAGAAUGCAAGCCCCCUUUCAAUGAUCAGGCCCAGAAGUGCUGCAAUAGAACAGCAGUCACAUCCCACCCCCUCCUGACUUGAUCUCUUCAAGGUGCUGCCACGCUGACUCCGGACUGACUGAUGCCAAGUAACUACAAAUUACCUAACAAUGCCACACACUGGACACCGUAGCUCAUAACCUACAGUUCAACCAUGCAUAGCCAAUAGCUAAUCAAUGUUACUUCUGUAAAUCAAUACGAAUUGUAUCAGCCCACUCCUUGUCCACCUUUGCACGUGUAGCAAAGGCUGAAAGGUGCACUUCUCAAGACAGCUUAGAAGGAUUUCUCCCGCAGUUGUUCUCACCUUAGCUCAAGUAAACACCUUCAAAUUAUAUUUUGUGCCUCAAUUUCUUCCUUUAGGUGAACAGAAAUUCAGCACCUUAUUUUAAAAUAGGCUUUGUGUUAGAUGAUUUUGCCCAACCAUAGGCUAAUGUAUGUGUUCUGAGCACAUUUAAGGUAGGCUUGGCUACGCUGUGGUGUUCAAUAUAUGUGGUAUAUUUAAUGCAUCUUUGAUUUUAAUAUUUUCAACUUAGAAUGCAUUUGUCAAUUAAUGUAAUUCCAUGGUAAGUCAGGGAGCUUCUGUGUACUUCUUAUUAUAAAUCACAGUAUCACAGUCAUUAAAAAUGGAAUUAGAUUAAAUGGAAGCCAUACUGGAGUAAGUGGAUACUUAAUCCAAUGUAACGUCUCCCGAUAAGAAGAGGAAAUUUGGACACUGAGACCCACAGGGAGAACACUACAGGAGGUUGGAAGCAGAGACUGCAAUGAUGAGCCUGCAGGACAAGGUGCCCUAAGGAUCACCAGUGGGAAACAAGAAUCAAGUCCUGCACCUGGGCCGCAUAGCAAGAUUUCAUCUCAAUAAAGAAAAAAAAAAAUGUUGUAAGUAGCCA